ensembl:lncRNA
CCCCGAUCAGGCAGUUGCAUUUAUCAUGGUCUAUGAGGAUGGCAAAGGGUCUGUGGCCGCUGACCCGAGGGGAUAGGGCAUCUCCCUAAAGCAACUCAAGCUCCUCCUGCCUUGCACUGCAGUGGAAGGCGCCUGUUCCUCAGCUCAGAACAGAUCCCUGUUGAGUCUAUGGAGCAUCUUCUCCAUGCUGGGUAUUCUUCAAGCCUUGAAGACCAGUCUCCACAUCCCCCAAGCAGACCGCUCCACCCCCAUAGCUGAGACAAGGUGUCCCUUCACACCGCUGGAGGCAUCGCCUUUGGCCUGCGCCAGCAGCCACCCAGCAACGCCUAGGGGUCCGCCUGAGCGAAGCAAGAACUUGGACACUUUAGCAAACUCUCCCCCUUUUUCUUCUUCCUCCACCGUUUUCUGGCUCAGAAACUGCACUAGGUGGCCCCCCAGGUCACUCCUUGGGUAGCAGACAGCUACCCGACAGAAGAUACAUUACUGGGCUGCUCCUGGAGAAGACCAAAACCCUGUCAAGAAGUGGAAGAAUAUACUGACACUAGAAGAAAAAAGGCUUUCCGAGACAGACAAUAUUAUGUAUAAAGCUCUACAGUUUCCUUCAUCCUGCACACAGCGGUGGCCCUGUGUGUCGUUUCACUCCUCAGCUUCACACUUGGCAUGCUUCGGGAAAGCCUCGUGCCCCAAGCUCUCCACGCAGCAGCUCUCACAAAGACUCAGUUUGCCCCAACAAUUCCCUCAGCCCCAGACUCCAAGCUGAAUGUUCCCCAACUACCCAUCUAGUGGAGGAACCAGUCCACUUUGGCCAAAUGUCCCCAAACCACACACCUUCUAAAUAUCUAGAGGUUUCCUGGGCUAGACCUUAAAUCAGAAAAUGCUCGAAACUGAUGCAUCAUUCCAUCAUCACCACCAGCACUUCUUCCUCCAUCACACACCUCUCCUCCUCUCCUGCCCCAGCCUCGAGACACAUGCUGCUCUUCCUCACUGGGAUCUCAACCACACGCAUACGCAGCAUGUUCAAGGGGCUUUCAACCAGCUGCUUCUCAGACAUAAGUCAGCCAUAUUGUUGUCUGCUUGUAAGACAGGAAUAGAUAAUGGAAGGGGCAGGGGUGCAAAAUAAGAGCUUGACACGUUUGAGAGAAGAAUCAGCAUGCUGGGGAGGAAUGUACUAGGGUAUCUAGUUCCUGGUAAGUAGCCCCCUGGAAACAGCCAGGAGGAAAGGCAAGGCCUGGCCUCCAUUCAGUCACUCACUCCUUGUUCCAGUGCUACCUCCCUCCUUGGGAUGAGGCUCGUGGCUUUGGCUGGGCAGAGCUGGCCCCACACUUUCCUCAGACAGCAAGCUGGAACUGAGCAGCAGCAAAGCUCUGGGUCCCAGACUCUCUGCAAGACAGAAAAGCCUGCUCAGCCCUAGGUUUGGAUACUGAGUGGCCACCUCCUGACCUGCUCUCUCCUCUCAGCACUGAACACCAUCCUGUCCAUCCCUGAGCACAGAGGGAAAAUGUCCACGUCAGGGUCUUCAGCCAACACCAAAUCCCCAGGGGAAAGGCUGCAGCCAACGUAGGCGCAGCACCAGCGGCUGCCCGUUUACAUUACCAGAGCCGCUAAAGGCACAUGUGCUCAGAUGGACAGCCUGGGGUCAGAACCCAGCUCCGCACGCUCACCGUUUGACCGUGGACAAGAUGUUGUGGCCCGCAUCUUUAAAAUUUCACACAGCUCUGGGCACACAGCUGGUGCCCGGCCAGCUGAAUUGAACCAAUGAGAUUCCAGGUCCGUCCGUCUUCUGCCCUACCCCAACCCUGUAACUACUUCUGGGGAAGACAUAUUUGGAACCAAAACUGAAGCCCCAGGAACCAGCGCACAGCAUCACGGAACCCCUCUGAGACAUAUCGCCUGACGAAUCAUCCCAGGGGCUGGGGCUGUGCAGGUGUCACCCCCAGAACUGCUUCCCCUACCAGACACACAGGAUGGAGAAUUCCAGAAGGAACUGCGAGUGCUCACACGUCCACACCCUGCAAUAGUAACCGAAACAGAACCUGCCACCGUCAAGGCCCCACAUUUGUACAGACAGGCACCUGAGUGUUUACACAAGGCCUGCAAGCUCUCCUUGCAUGAUUAGUCAACAUCACAAUUUGUGAUUGAAGAGCGAAGGCACCAUUUGCUUUCUGAAGUAACAAAAGGAUAACAAGCAAUCCUCUUGGGGAAAGGAAUCAAAAUGGCCUCCUGGAACCCUCUCACUGCCUCUGUCAUUAUUGUAUCUGCUGACACCGGACCAGCACAGCUUCUCUGAUGGCACUCGGCAAAUACCCUGAGCCCCUGAGCCUGGCCCUGGGAGGAUGAUGAUGCUCACAGUGUGCCCCGCACCUGCCACCACCAGCCCCAACGAGGAACAGUACAGAGUCCUGCCCAGCUGAGAGCUAAGCAUCACUCAGAGACCACCUGCUGCCCUGGCUCCUUUCUUCUCGAAGCCCCUCAGUGACCCCAGCCCGGUGACCUGCACCCCCUGAAACAACCAACAAGGCACUGCAGAGCAGAGCUGGGCUGCAAAUGGCAGCCCGUGAAGCUGGUGGCCACUCCCCACCCUGCUGAACAUACUCUCUUCCCUGUAGGAAAAAUAUGACGUGGUUGGAUCUGCCUUGGAGAGCAUCGGGUUAUGAUAAUUUGAGCUCUAUUCAAUUAUUCCUAUUAAAUGCAUGAGCAGAA